GGGGUUGUAGCUCAGUGGUAGAGCGCUUGCCUCGCAUGCGUGAAGUACUGAGUUGGAUCCUCAGCACUACA
rnacentral:tRNA from 1 species